AGAGUUUGAUCCUGGCUCAGAGCGAACGCUGGCGGCGUGCCUAACACAUGCAAGUCGAACGUGAAAGGGAGCAAUCCCAAGUAAAGUGGCGUACGGGUGAGUAACGCGUAGGUAAUCUACCCCAAAAUCUGGAAUAACCUGCCGAAAGGCGGGCUAAUACUGGAUAGAGCGAUGGAAUCCGUAAUUGGGUUUUUCGGGAAAGGGAGGGAGCAAUCCCCUUCGUUUUGGGAUGAGCCUGCGUCUCAUUAGCUAGUUGGUGGGGUAAUGGCCCACCAAGGCUUUGAUGGGUAGCUGGUCUGAGAGGAUGAUCAGCCACACUGGAACUGAAACACGGUCCAGACUCCUACGGGAGGCGGCAGUGGGGAAUCUUGCGCAAUGGACGAAAGUCUGACGCAGCCACGCCGCGUGAGUGAAGAAGGCCUUCGGGUUGUAAAGCUCUGUCGAGCGGGACGAAAAUUUUCUGGGUUAACAGCCCAGGGAACUGACGGUACCGCUAAAGGAAGCACCGGCUAACUCCGUGCCAGCAGCCGCGGUAAUACGGAGGGUGCAAGCGUUGCUCGGAAUUAUUGGGCGUAAAGGGUAGGUAGGUGGUCUCAUUUGUCUGGGGUGAAAGCCUUGAGCUUAACUCAAGAAGUGCCCCAGAAACGGUGAGACUGGAGUCCUGGAGAGGGUCGUGGAAUUCCCGGUGUAGCGGUGAAAUGCGUAGAGAUCGGGAGGAACACCAGAGGCGAAAGCGGCGACCUGGACAGGUACUGACACUCAACUACGAAAGCGUGGGGAGCAAACAGGAUUAGAUACCCUGGUAGUCCACGCUGUAAACGAUGGGUACUAGGUUUGGUGGGUCUUGACCCCCGCCGAACCGGCGCUAACGCACUAAGUACCCCGCCUGGAAAGUACGGUCGCAAGACUAAAACUCAAAGGAAUUGACGGGGGCCCGCACAAGCGGUGGAUCAUGUGGUUUAAUUCGAAGCAACGCGAAGAACCCUUACCUGGAU
rnacentral:rRNA from 1 species